rnacentral:lncRNA from 1 species
ACCCACCUCGGCCUCCCAAAGUGCUGGGAUUACCUGCAUGAGCCACUGCACCUGGCUUCAGCCCUUUGUUUUAUCCAAGAGAAGGUCAAGAGCAGAUAAAUUGGAUCUGUGCCCGCAGAGAGAGCCUGCUCCAGCCUCUUUGCUACAGCCUUGAGUCUUCUGCUGUGAUAGGAUGCUAGAGAGGAAAAUUUGGAAUUAGCUUUUAAAAGGAAGAGAAAUGACGGUGUAACCAUCUGCCAAAUACAUGGAAACAACAACAACAAAAACCUCAUCAUUCACCUGGCCUGGCAAAUAGG